AGCCUUCUGUAUCUGUGCUGAGAUCUCGUCACACACCAGACCACAAGGGCUGAUGAGACUUCCAAGAUAAGUGAAGCC
rfam:Schistosoma curassoni strain Dakar, Senegal genome assembly, scaffold: SCTD_scaffold0012632